rnacentral:rRNA from 1 species
AGAACGAACGCUGGCGGCGUGGAUAAGACAUGCAAGUCGAACGGGAUAUCUUUUGUAGCAAUACAAAGGAUGUCCAGUGGCGUAAGGGUGCGUAACACGUGGGCAACCUGCCGAGAAGUGGGGGAUAGCUCGCCGAAAGGCGAAUUAAUACCGCAUGUGGCCAGGGAAGACAUCUUCCCCAAGCCAAAGCCGGGGCAACCUGGCGCUUCUUGAUGGGCCCGCGGCCUAUCAGCUAGUUGGUGAGGUAACGGCUCACCAAGGCUAUGACGGGUA